rnacentral:rRNA from 1 species
AUUGAACGCUGGCGGCACGCCUAACACAUGCAAGUCGAGCGGCAGCAUGCUUAGUAGCAAUACUAAGUGAUGGCGAGCGGCGGACGGGUGAGGAACACGUAGGAACCUGCCCAAGAGAGGGGGACAACCAAUGGAAACGUUGGCUAAUACCGCAUAAUCUCUUAGGAGAAAAGUUGCCCGUAAGGGUAGCGAUUUUGGAGGGGCCUGCGUCCGAUUAGCUAGUUGGUGAGGUAAUAGCUCACCAAGGCGAUGAUCGGUAACUGGUCUGAGAGGACGACCAGUCACACUGGGACUGAGACACGGCCCAGACUCCUACGGGAGGCAGCAGUGGGGAAUCUUGGACAAUGGGGGCAACCCUGAUCCAGCGAUGCCGCGUGGGUGAAGAAGGCCUUCGGGUUGUAAAGCCCUUUAGGCUGGGACGAAGGGUAUGGGACGAAUAAUCCUGUACUUUGACGGUACCAGCAGAAUAAGCACCGGCAAACUCUGUGCCAGCCGCCGCCGUAA